rnacentral:rRNA from 1 species
CCUACGGGUGGCAGCAGUGAGGAAUAUUGGUCAAUGGGCGCUAGCCUGAACCAGCCAAGUAGCGUGAAGGAUGACUGCCCUAUGGGUUGUAAACUUCUUUUAUAGGGGAAUAAAGUGCAGUAUGUAUACUGCUUUGCAUGUACCUUAUGAAUAAGGAUCGGCUAACGCCGUGCCAGCAGCCGCGGUAAUACGGAGGAUCCGAGCGUUAUCCGGAUUUCGUGGGUUUAACGGGAGCGUAGGCGGGUUGUUAAGUCAGUUGUGAAAGUUUGCGGCUCAACCGGAAAAUUGCAGUUGAUACUGGCAUCCUUGAGUACAGUAGAGGUAGGCGUCUUUCGUGUUGUAGCGGU